CUUAUCAAGAGUGGCGGAGGGACCGGCCCUGUGAAGCCCGGCAACCUGCAUUGCAAGGUGCCAAAUCCGGCGGUGUGAAUCGAAAGAUGAGG
rnacentral:ncRNA from 1 species